GAAAUAAAUUUAAUUUAAUUUCAUCAUUUAAUUUUUAUAUUAAUAUAAAAAUUAUUUGUUGAAUUAAAAAUUAUAGGGGAUAAGCUCUAUAUUUUUCUAUAAGAUUUCUAAUUAAUUAAUUUUUGUAGGGUUAGAAUUAUCCAUCAUUAGAAAGUGUGUUAUAAUUUAUAUUUAUUUUUAAUUAAUUUUAUUUUUUUUAGUAGAUUAUUAAAAUAUUAAAGUUAAUUUUUUACUUUAAUUAAUAAUGAUUAAAUUAGUAUAAAAUAUUGUUUAUUAUUUUAUAAAUAUUUAUGAUAAAAUAAGGAACUCGGCAAAUAUAGUUCUCGCCUGUUUACCAAAAACAUGUCCUUUUGAAUUUAAUAUAAGGUCUGACCUGCCCAGUGAUAAUUUCAACGGCCGCGGUAUAUUGACYGURCAAAGGUAGCAUAAUCAUUAGUCUUUUAAUAGAGGGCUGGAAUGAAAGGUUUAACGAGGAACUGACUGUCUCAUUUUAUUUGUUUUAAAAUUUAAUUUUUUAGUUAAAAAGCUAAAAUUUUAUUGGUAGACGAGAAGACCCUAUAGAGCUUUACAUUUAAUUAAUUAAAUAUUUUUAUAUUAAUAUUUUUAUUUGAUUUUAUGUUUUGUUGGGGUGACAAAAAUAUACAUAUAACUUUUUUAUAUUAUUUACAUUGAUUUAUGAAUAUUAGAUCCAUUAUUAUUGAUUAUUAGAUUAAGUUACCUUAGGGAUAACAGCGUAAUAU
rnacentral:rRNA from 1 species